GAUCGCGCUGAAGGCCUGUUUCCUAGGCUACACUCGGGGGACUUGUUCCUCAUCUAGUUGCCUAGGGGAAAGUCCCCGGACCUUGGGCAGAAAGUGCCACGUGCUCACGCACGUAGACCCUCCCCGCCCUUCACACUUAGCCCGCCAAGAAGCAAACCCGCUCUUUGGAACGGGAAUGCUGAGCGGCGUGUUGCGGGACGUCAUCCGUCAGCUGUCAUAGUGACGCAGGCAGUGCGCACAUGGGUGCGCACCAACCAAACGGGGCUCAUUCUCAGCGCGGC
ensembl:ribozyme RNase_MRP RNase MRP